UCUUGGUCAUUUAGAGGAAGUAAAAGUCGUAGCAAGGUCUCCGUUGGUGAACCAGCGGAGGGAUCAUUAUCGAGUUAUUCAACUCCCAAACCCUAUGUGAACUUACCACUUGUUGCUUCGGCGCGCGCUUCGGCGCCGCCGAGGACACUUAAACUCUUUGUUUUUAUAAGCAUUUCUGAGUGGCCGAAAGGCAAAAAUACAAAUGAAUCAAAACUUUCAACAACGGAUCUCUUGGUUCUGGCAUCGAUGAAGAACGCAGCGAAAUGCGAUAAGUAAUGUGAAUUGCAGAAUUCAGUGAAUCAUCGAAUCUUUGAACGCACAUUGCGCCCGCCAGCAUUCUGGCGGGCAUGCCUGUUCGAGCGUCAUUUCAACCCUCGAGCCCGACUCUUUUGAGGACGGCUCGGCGUUGGGGGACGGCAGACUCCCCCCGGCAUCUCGCCGGGGACGCCGCACCCGAAAUCUAGUGGCGGCCCUCCGAGGCGACCUCUGCGUAGUAACUUGUUCUCGCACCGGAAAGCUCAGAGCGGCCACGCCGUAAAACCCCAACUUUUUUCAGGUUGACCUCGAAUCAGGUAGGACU
rnacentral:rRNA from 1 species